rnacentral:rRNA from 1 species
CCGCACAAGCGGUGGAGUAUGUGGUUUAAUUCGAUGCAACGCGAAAACCUUACCUGCCCUUGACAUCCUCGGAACUUGUCAGAGAUGACUUGGUGCCUUCGGGAACCGAGAGACAGGUGCUGCAUGGCUGUCGUCAGCUCGUGUCGUGAGAUGUUGGGUUAAGUCCCGCAACGAGCGCAACCCUUGCCAUUAGUUGCUACGAAAGGGCACUCUAAUGGGACUGCCGGUGACAAACCGGAGGAAGGUGGGAUGACGUCAAGUCCUCAUGGCCCUUAUAGGUGGGGCUACACACGUCAUACAAUGGCCGGUACAGAGGGUAGCCAAGCCGCGAGGCGGAGCCAAUCCUGAAAGCAGGCCUCAGUUCAGAUUGCAGUCUGCAACUCGACUGCAUGAAGCCGGAGUUGCUAGUAACCGCAGGUCAGCAAUACUGCGGUGAAUACGUUCCCGGGUCUU